CCCGACUAUUCUAUAUCUCUCCCGACUCCACUCCCAACGCAGAAGAACUCUGUCUCUCUUUAAAUCUCUAACCUUCCCCCAAAUCCUUAACCUCACGCAUGAAAUCCUAACGCUAUCACACAGAAAGAGACCUAAUGCAGAAGCACUCCAUCUCUCACUCUAAAUCUCUAACCUCUAUGGGCUAUGGCAUUCCUACUAAAACGUUUUCAAAUAUAUUGAUUGGAUUGGCUCAAUAUAUUCUGAGAAUGGUCAGGAGCGAGACGUAACACCGAAAUCCGAUCCAGCAUAAGCCAAGGAGGAGCAGAAUGGGCGAUGAUUGCUGUGAACCUUUGCCACAGUCCGUUGGUGCAAAGAAGGGGCUGGGGCUGGGGCUGGGGCUCAGGCUAUCUCUCUCGAAGCCGAGGAGGAGCCAAAGUGAAAGUGAUGAUUUCUCUGAACCAUUGUCACAGUCUCAAGUCCGUUGGUGCGAAGAAGGGGCUGGGGCUGGGGCUGGGGCUGAGGUUGCCUUUCUCGAAGUGGAGGAGGAGCCAAAGUGAAAGCGAUGAUUUCUCUAAACCAUUGUCACAGUCCCAAGAUAAGUUUAAUUAAUUAGCAAAUUUGUAAUUAAGCAUAUUCAGAUCAGGGUUAGGUUUUUUGUUUUUUUUUUUUUUUUAUCUCUGUUUUGUUUUUUGUUUCUUUUAUCUCUGUUUUGUUUUCUCUGUUUUGCUUUGUUGUGUUGGGUUUUUAUGGAUGAGCUACUCUUCGAUGUUCCUGGCUCUGGAGAAAUGCUUAAUUGCCCAUUGUUGCUUAUUCAGAAGUCAUAAUACAUGGAGAGUGGUAAGGAGGAAGAUAAGUAGGGAACGUGACGCUGUGUUGUUGAUUUAAUAACCAAACUUACCUGUUUAUGUGGUAACAAAAAUACAAAGGUACCUACAAAAACCUCAUUCCAUGUUUUCAAUUUUUAGGCACAAAGGAGCUUUGAGCCAUAUUGUAAAUAGAAGGUGAAAUAUAUCCUUUUAAUUUGGAGUAUGUACAUGAAAUAUUUUAACUUCAUAACCAAACUUACCUGUUCAUGUGGUAUAAAAAAUACAUAGGUACCUACAAAAACCUCAUUCCAUGUUUUCAAUUUUUAGGCACAAAGGAGCUUUGAGCCAUAUUGUAAAUAGAAGGUGAAACAUAUCCUUUUAUUUAACUUCAUAACCAAACUUACCUGUUUAUGUGGUAUCAAAAAUACAUAGGUACCUACAAAAAUCUCAUUCCAUGUUUUCAAUUUUUAUGCACAAUGGAGCUUUAAAGUUAUCUUUUAAUUUAUUUAAAAUAUUGAUUGAGUAGUUCUUUAAAUUUGUGUUUCAUACAUUUAAUGG